rnacentral:snRNA from 1 species
GUGCUCACUUCAGCAGCACAUAUACUAAAAUUGGAACAACACAGAGAUUAGCCUGGCCCCUGAGCAAGGAUGACAUGCAAAUUUGUGAAGUGUUCCAUAUUUUU